rnacentral:rRNA from 1 species
UACGAAGGGGGCUAGCGUUGCUCGGAAUUACUGGGCGUAAAGGGCGCGUAGGCGGGUCGUUAAGUUGGGGGUGAAAGCCCAGGGCUCAACCCUGGAAUUGCCUUCAAUACUGGCGACCUUGAGUAUGGCAGAGGUGUGUGGAACUCCGAGUGUAGAGGUGAAAUUCGUAGAUAUUCGGAAGAACGCCAGUGGCGAAGGCGACACACUGGGCCAUUACUGACGCUGAGGCGCGAAAGCGUGGGGAGCAAACAGG